rnacentral:rRNA from 1 species
AGAGUUUGAUCCUGGCUCAGGAUGAACGCUAGCGGCAGGCUUAACACAUGCAAGUCGAGGGGCAGCACAGGUAGCAAUACUGGGUGGCGACCGGCGCAAGGGUGCGUAACGCGUGAGCAACAUGCCCGUAUCAGGGGGAUAAUCCAUGGAAACGUGGUCUAAUACCCCAUAGUAAGUUUUUGGGGCAUCUCAAAGAUUUUAAAGCUUUGGUGGAUACGGAUUGGCUCGCGUGACAUUAGCUAGAUGGUAAGGUAACGGCUUACCAUGGCUACGAUGUCUAGGGGUUCUGAGAGGAAGGUCCCCCACACUGGAACUGAGACACGGUCCAGACUCCUACGGGAGGCAGCAGUGAGGAAUAUUGGACAAUGGAUGGAAAUCUGAUCCAGCCAUGCCGCGUGCAGGAAGACGGCCCUAUGGGUUGUAAACUGCUUUUGUAUGGGAGCAAUAAGGGCUACGUGUAGUCCGAUGAGAGUACCAUACGAAUAAGCACCGGCUAACUCCGUGCCAGCAGCCGCGGUAAUACGGAGGGUGCAAGCGUUAUCCGGAUUUAUUGGGUUUAAAGGGUGCGUAGGCGGUUUGAUAAGUCAGCGGUGAAAUAUUUCAGCUUAACUGGAAGGGUGCCGUUGAUACUGUCGAGCUUGAAUUUAGUUGCUGUGGGUGGAAUGUGUGGUGUAGCGGUGAAAUGCAUAGAUAUCACACAGAAUAUCGAUUGCGAAGGCAGCUCACAAAGCUAAUAUUGACGCUGAUGCACGAAAGUGUGGGGAUCAAACAGGAUUAGAUACCCUGGUAGUCCACACUG